CCUACGGGAGGCAGCAGUAGGGAAUAUUGCUCAAUGGGGGAAACCCUGAAGCAGCAACGCCGCGUGGAGGAUGAAGGUUUUAGGAUUGUAAACUCCUUUUGUGAGAGAAGAUAAUGACGGUAUCUCACGAAUAAGCACCGGCUAACUCCGUGCCAGCAGCCGCGGUAAUACGGAGGAUGCGAGCGUUAUCCGGAUUUAUUGGGUUUAAAGGGUGCGCAGGCGGAGGCACAAGUCAGCGGUAAAAUCGCGGGGCUCAACCCCGCUCCGCCGUUGAAACUGUGUCCCUUGAGUGCGCGAAGGGUAGGCGGAAUGCGUGGUGUAGCGGUGAAAUGCAUAGAUAUCACGCAGAACUCCGAUCGCGAAGGCAGCCUACCGGCGCGCAACUGACGCUCAUGCACGAAAGCGUGGGUAUCGAACAGGAUUAGAUACCCGUGUAGUC
rnacentral:rRNA from 1 species